AACGAACGCUGGCGGCAUGCCUCACACAUGCAAGUCGAACGAGAUCUUCGGGUCUAGUGGCGCACGGGUGCGUAACGCGUGGGAAUCUGCCCUUUGGUUAGGAAUAACAGUUGGAAACGACUGCUAAUACCGGAUGAUGACUAAAGUCCAAAGAUUUAUCGCCAGAGGAUGAGCCCGCGUAGGAUUAGCUAGUUGGUUUGGUAAAGGCGAAGCAAGGCGACGAUCCUUACAUGGUCUGAGAGGAAGACCAGCCAAACUUGGACUGAGACACGGCCCAGACUCCUACGGGAGGCAGCAGCGGGGAAUAUUGGACAAUGGGCGAAAGCCUGAUCCAGCAAUGCCGCGUGAGUGAUGAAGGCCUUAGGGUUGUAAAGCUCUUUUACCCGGGAUGAUAAUGACAGUACCGGGAGAAUAAGCUCCGGCUAACUCCGUGCCAGCCGCCGCGGUAA
rnacentral:rRNA from 1 species